ACCAAAAAAGAUCACUCAGACGACCAACAAAAUGAAAUGAAGCAAGAGCAGAGGGAAGAGGAUGUUUUUCCAGGGUUGUUGACCCCCCUUUGCCGCUUAUGAUUUUCUCCUUCUGCGCCCCUUUCCCCUAAUUUCUCAACAACCCUUUUAUUUCUAUUCUAUAUCUAUACUCCGUAUUAUAUUAUAUGGGUGGAGAUGUUUAUUUAUUUAUUUAUUUAAACAGCAAAUCUAUUCUACUAUUACUACUACUCGUACAUAGUGUCUGUCACAGGGACGAUUUGUGUAAUUAACUCUUUAUCUCAAGUGAAGUGAUAUAUCUACAACAAUUAUUAGGCAAUGCUAGCAUUAUAUAGCUGUACGCUGUAUAGUAUUAAUUUGAUAACAGGGGCAGUGAUGAUAAAUGUGUCUCUAUAUGUUGGUCGUCUGAGUGUUUGGGGGGUCAAACAUUGAGAUUUAGCCGUAUCUUGGCGGGGCAUUCAUUUGCAGCCAUGGCGGUUUAUCCUUGUUUUUGUACCCACUGUCUUACAGAUCUGAGCCCUCCGUAUUAUUAUUUUUAUUAAAAUGGUUUUCAACUUUUUUUUUUCUUUUUUUUUUGUUGUCAAGAUUUAAGUUUUUUUUUAAAGCAUGGCAAAAGGUUUAUCAGAUAAGUGCAGAGGUGUUAAUUAAAGUGGUUGUCUUUGUGACUUUUUGGUACUUUUCUUUUUAUAGCCACCCGAAACGACUACUCGUAUUUGAGCAAUCGUUUUGAAAUUGCCAUCUUUUUUAUCGAGUCGUCUUGAGUAGAUAUCGAGUUGAUCAAUGUUUUGACUAUCAAUGAUAUACUGAAUUUGUUGGUUGUCAAUGUUAUGAGGCAGGGGGUUAUCCUUGUGGCUAUGAUAUAUGGCUUGCUUGAAUAAUCGAUGGAUUACCUGAGAGCUUUGUAGUGGCAAAGGGGGAGGUAUGAAUGCAGAUGCAUAGGAAUGCAUUAUGUUGGUAUAGAUGAUGUAUAUAUAUCUUGUUAGUUUAAUAGUAUGUGGAGUAACCUUGGUGAUUCAAUCCCAUGGAUUAGCAUUCUAGAAGCAGGGUUGGAAAUUGAUAAAUCAAACAGUCUCUUUAGGGCAUCCCCUGUGGUGAUUUUUGAAAAGCUUUUUCUUUAAAAUAGGUUUAAGAAUGCGUAAGGAGUUUUUGUAAAAAAAGGCUUUACCUCCAAUGCAUUUUUGUAAAAGGUUUGAUGAAUCUUUUCCUUUUCUUUUUGUGUUUGAAACUUGUAAGCAUGUGAUGGUCUGUGAACAUCUUUCCAUAUCAGGCGAAUUGACAUGGCACUGGAGAAGAGAAUUGGGGGUUGAGGAGAAGAAGAUAGAACCGCAACCGUUGUCUGCUAUGAUCAAAGAAAUACAUCCAAGGGUCGGGGAUGAUAAAUGGAGAUAGGGCGAUGACCUAACUGGAGUAUUCUCGGUGGCUUUCUCCAGGAAGCAAAUUGAUUCACUUUACUUCCCGACUCAGCCUAACUGAGAAGUCCAAUUUUUAUCGCUUCAACUGUUAUCUACAUUGUAACUCAACUUUUUGAUGAUAAGAAGCCCCUCAAAGGUGAAGUUUGCUCAAUUGAGCAUUUUUCUUUAAAGAAGCCGGACAAUGGGUUGAACAUGUCCAACGUAUCCAGGAGUGUAUUUACGAAGGCUAUAUAGGAGAUUUAUGAUCAAAGAACUUGCAAGUUUUGACUUAACUUUUGAUCAAGUAGAUAGACUGGCAAACUUAUUCAAGCCGGCUCCAUUAUUGGAUUCAAAUCCGCAUUCUUAUGACCACUAUAACCAAUCAAGAAAGUCCAUGCCCUGACACGGGUUUUCUUACUGGACCACCUGCACAAGGAAGCAUCCAGUUUUCUAACCCAGUCAUGGCUCCAUAUCCACUUUAAAAGGAUGAACAAGAUUAUAAAAAUUAUGGGCUUAGAGGAGAUGGACAUAAAUACCAAACCCCUGUUGGUCCUCAUUAUGAACCUUAUAUAACCAAUCCAAAAAAAGAGCAUCCACUCCCUGAUGCAGUUUGGGUGACUUCUGGCAUGUUCAAUGCAUUUGAGCUUCCUUAAUUCUUAUAUGUUAUCAUUCGGGAUAAAACACAGCCAAAUCAAUAAUGUGUUGAAAUGCCAUCUCGAUUCUUAAAAUGUCAGAUUAAUAACUUCAUUGGUAUUCUGCCUCUUAGCUGAUGUUGAACAGAAUGACAUCGGCGACACCUAUCUCAUGCCUCCUAUUUUACAACAACUUAUUGGAACGUCUCAUAUAUUUGAAACCAAAAGUCACACGUAUUAUCAAGUUGCCGAUUAUGAGAGUUUCAACUGUUCAAAAGUUGUUGUUACUGAGUUGUCUGACCCAGAAUUCAAGAAGGAGGAUAUGAAAUCAAUUUCAUUUGGUAAUGAGUCACGAGGAUCCUCAUUAGCAAUCUCGAAUGUAACUGAAAACCCGCUUGAAAUAAGUAUGUAAUAAUUUAGUCACAUUGCCGAGGCUGGAGCUGUGGUUAUGAAUGACGAUAAAGGGGUUGGAGAUAAUGUUGCAACUGAUGUGGUUCGUGGGAAAAAGAGGCAAUUUCAAGAAACAAAUGUUGUCGGGGAUGGCAAGAAAGCUGUCAAGUGAGAGGAUGUCACCUAAGAUGAAGUAUCGGUGGUUCUAUUAUUACUUGUUUUUGCUACUUUAUGAACCUUUUUAAGUUUGAAGUGAACUCCAGCACGUUAGUACAUAUCUUUUCAGUCAUUUUGAAAUAAAUUUAUCAUUGCUCUACGUGUUUCAGUUUAAUAUUAUGCACUUGUCACCUAAGAUGAAGUA